ensembl:lncRNA
AGCUGCUGUGCCGUCCGAGGGCUUAUCUUAUAGGAAGAGAAAACACAACCUCCGUGGCCUGAUGGAAACUGGUCCUUAGGCGUUUUCCUGGUUAAGGGGCAGGAGACCGGAUCUCCCGCCUGUUUGGAAAUUGAAAGCAGCCAGCUCGCUGAUGGCCUGCCUCUGAUUCUUUUUGUGGGAGCUGAGAGAAAACUUUACGUUCAGCUUUAGGAACUGGGUUGGACAUUGGAGCACGGACGGCUGACCUGCCUUCAGUUUCCAUGCUAUCCUGGCUCUCCCACGGUCUUGAGUUGAGAACAUUUAUUCACAUUUCCACCAUUUUUGUGUACUGGUGUGCUCUAUCAAAUCCUUGGCGGAAUGAGUCAACAGCAAAUGAUAAACAAUUUAAAGCCCUGUGAUAUUUAAUUAUAGGCCAGUGGGCUUCAGACACCUUGACAGGAGGAGGACAGGACGGAGCACUAAGGUGGAGCUGAGCUGAGCACAGAGGGGGUGAUGGUGGGUCACAGCGUGGGGUCAGGAGUCUGGAACUCUACCCAGGCGCUCAGUGCCCACUUAGAGGGGAAACUAGCCACGACUGCUCCGUUCCUGAGGUGGAAGCACAGCCGCCAGCUCUGGCCCCACCUCUUUGCAGCUGGCAUGCAUGUUGCCUGUGUCACUUGGGGUACAUUCCCUAACCUCUCUGAGCCUCCGUUUUCUCCUCUGCAGAAUGGGAUCAGUGACAGAGUCGGCUUUAUAGAGGGUUGUGAGUCUUGAAUGAGGCUACUUUGUUGGGUGCUGAGCAGAGGGCCUGGCACCAAGCACUGGCUGUCAUAGUUAUUAUUAUUAUUAGCGUAAUCACCAGGCCCAGAAAUUGUGUGUAAACGGAGGUUGGGGGUGCUGGAAAUGAGAACUUGACUUUUGAGCUUACACUAUUUCUUACCACAGGCUGUGGGAGGCAGAAUUCAAAGAUGCCCCCCAAGAUUUCCCACCUAAAACCCAAGGCCUUGAGUAGCCCUGCGAUUGAUGGCACAGUGGAUGGCAGGAGGGUUCACACACGCGGAUGGGACCAGGUCACCAGCGCUGGAUUGUAAUCUGGAGGCCUUCCAGGCAGGCCUAACCUCACCACGUGGGCCCUUUCACACAGAGAACAGUCUCAAGCUGGGGCGCCGUCACGAGACUCACAGGCGACGGGCAGGCUCUACAUCCCUGACCUUGGGGUGGAGUGGUCAUGAGUAAGGACUGAGAACGCCCUCCAGAGCUAAGGACAGUCCUUAGCUGAUGGCCAACAGGGAAAUGGGGACCUCAGUCCUACAGCCACUGGGAACUGAAUUCUGCCAACAGCCUGAAUGAGCCUGGAAGUGGGCCUUGCCCAGAGCCUCCAGAUAAAGCACGGUGUGGCCGACACCUCACUUAGCCUGUGAGAGCCCAGCCGUGCCCUUAGGACUGCAGAGCUGCAGGAGUGUGUGAUAAUAAAUCAGUGUUGCUCAAGGCUGCUAGGCUUGUGUUUGUUACCCAGUGUAGGUAACUAAUAAGCUGGGGCAUUCCCACGUGGGGCUGUCCACCUUCCAGGCACCGCUGGAGGAGACGCUGGGCAGGGCAGACACACCACGCAGUGGGUUCUUGUCCAUCUCUGGAAGACGGUUGUCCCAGACUGGCGUUGUCAGUGGCUGUGACCCUGGCUGUGGGCCAGUGAGGCGUGGGUGCUCCUUGCUGCUGCAGUGGUCAGGGGCUCCCAGAUGCAGACGCCAGCCAACAGGGAAGGGACUCAUCUGUGCUAAAGAGAGCAAGAGCGUAAGGUGACAUAGCUGCAGGAUGCAUGGGGACAAGGCGCUCUUGCCUGACCCUGGAGGCUGAGCACGACAGAUGAGCAUGGACAAGGACAGCCUGCUGGAGGGGUCCUUCUAACAUCUCUUUAGUUCAGCUUUCCACUGAUCAGGGAGGCCCUUCUGGUGAAAUGUGUGCAGCUUAAACCUGAGACUAUAAACCUAAUAGGAAUUUGGUUCGCUUCACAAGUCAAGAUAAUUGUACUUUGAAAAAUGUUUUCAACGUAACAUUAAUUUUGACCUUUACAUAAAGUGUGAUGCGUGUGUUUUAAACGUGGCCUUCUGCAUGGCGCUUCUGCCAUCAGUGCACCGCUUCUCUGGGUUGCAGUGGCAGAUGGUUCUGGGUCUAAGAUAAGCAAUCACUUAUUUUCAUGCUCUCGAGGGCUGUGUUAUGGUGAACAGACAUGUUAUGAAUGGGAUUUUCUUGUUUUCCUUAAAGGGCCUCAAGAACAAAGGCCAUGGGGAAGGCCCUGCACUGUGUUAGGUCCCUCUACUCAGAACUCUGCAACCGUGAUCAAGGGGUUAAAAACGAAGAGCAAGCAAGGCAUCAGCCCAUCAGGUUCCUCCCCACUCCUCUGCUUCCUGUCCUUGGAAGGGUUUCUGAUGGAACUGGCAACACUUUCCUACAGCCUUUGAUUUAAGAUCCUCUCUGUGACAUAUUUAAAAACAGAUUAAAGACGUACUUGAACUCC